rnacentral:rRNA from 1 species
AUGUGCAUAGCAAAAAGUAGAAAAAGGCUAUCAUUUCCCCAAAUCACGCCGACAACAAAAUCCCCUUCUCUACUGUACUGUUCUCUCUACACGGCUGUGAUUUGGGUACGGUGGGCAAGGGAGAUCAUGGGAGGACGCAGCGGGCUGCUCGACCUCGUCAUGGCCGGCGCUGCCGUGGCGACGGUGCUGGAGGUUGGAGGCGUGGAGGCGGAGGAGGCAGUGACUGAGCUGACGAAGGGUACGCUGGUUCACGUAUUUCCCGGCGAAUUGGUGUGUGCUGCAGCGUCUUCCAAGCCAUUUCUGAUCGAGGAGGGGACCACUCUUUCGAGCAGCUGUUCUUGCGCUGUCCACCAACGAGAUCGCAUCUCACUGUCGCUGAUCUGGAAAGGCAGAUGUCGGUCGCCGGGGAGAUCAUGGGUGCAGGCAGUGAACUUUGGCGUUGAGUAG